UACGUAGGGGGGCAAGCGUUGUCCGGAAUUAUUGGGCGUAAAGAGCUCGUAGGCGGCUUGUCACGUCGGGUGUGAAAGCCCGGGGCUUAACCCCGGGUCUGCAUUCGAUACGGGCUAGCUAGAGUGUGGUAGGGGGAGAUCGGAAUUCCUGGUGUAGCGGUGAAAUGCGCAGAUAUCGGGAGGAACACCGGUGGCGAAGGCGGCGACCUGGGUCGAUACUGACGCUGAGGUGCGAAAGCGUGGGGAGCAAACAGG
rnacentral:rRNA from 1 species